UCGGGGGUACACGAGUGGCGAACGGGUGAGUAACACGUGGGUGAUCUGCCCUGCACUCUGGGAUAAGCCUGGGAAACUGGGUCUAAUACCGGAUAUGAGCUCCUGUCGCAUGGCGGGGGUUGGAAAGGUUUACUGGUGCAGGAUGGGCCCGCGGCCUAUCAGCUUGUUGGUGGGGUAAUGGCCUACCAAGGCGACGACGGGUAGCCGGCCUGAGAGGGCGACCGGCCACACUGGGACUGAGACACGGCCCAGACUCCUACGGGAGGCAGCAGUGGGGAAUAUUGCACAAUGGGCGAAAGCCUGAUGCAGCGACGCCGCGUGAGGGAUGACGGCCUUCGGGUUGUAAACCUCUUUCAGCAGGGACGAAGCGAGAGUGACGGUACCUGCAGAAGAAGCACCGGCCAACUACGUGCCAGCAGCCGCGGUAAUACGUAGGGUGCGAGCGUUGUCCGGAAUUACUGGGCGUAAAGAGCUCGUAGGCGGUUUGUCGCGUCGUCCGUGAAAACUUGGGGCUCAACCCCAAGCUUGCGGGCGAUACGGGCAGACUUGAGUACUGCAGGGGAGACUGGAAUUCCUGGUGUAGCGGUGAAAUGCGCAGAUAUCAGGAGGAACACCGGUGGCGAAGGCGGGUCUCUGGGCAGUAACUGACGCUGAGGAGCGAAAGCGUGGG
rnacentral:rRNA from 2 species